CGGCAGCACAGUAAGAGCUUGCUCUUAUGGGUGGCGAGUGGCGGACGGGUGAGGAAUACAUCGGAAUCUACCUUUUCGUGGGGGAUAACGUAGGGAAACUUACGCUAAUACCGCAUACGACCUUCGGGUGAAAGCAGGGGACCUUCGGGCCUUGCGCGGAUAGAUGAGCCGAUGUCGGAUUAGCUAGUUGGCGGGGUAAAGGCCCACCAAGGCGACGAUCCGUAGCUGGUCUGAGAGGAUGAUCAGCCACACUGGAACUGAGACACGGUCCAGACUCCUACGGGAGGCAGCAGUGGGGAAUAUUGGACAAUGGGCGCAAGCCUGAUCCAGCCAUACCGCGUGGGUGAAGAAGGCCUUCGGGUUGUAAAGCCCUUUUGUUGGGAAAGAAAAGCAGUCGAUUAAUACUCGGUUGUUCUGACGGUACCCAAAGAAUAAGCACCGGCUAACUUCGUG
rnacentral:rRNA from 1 species